GAGCACGUAGGUGGGUUUGUAAGUCAGGUGUGAAAGCCUUCUGUUCAAAGGAAGAACGGCAUCUGAAACUGCGAAUCUUGAGUGUAGGAGGGGAGAGUGGAACUUCUGGUGGAGCGGUGAAAUGCGUAGAUAUCAGAAGGAACGUCGGUGGCGAAAGCGACUCUCUGGCCUAUUACUGACACUGAGUGUGCGAAAGUUAGGGGAGCAAACGGGAUUAGAUACCCCGGUAGUCCUAACCGUAAACGAUGGGCACUAAGUAGAGGG
rnacentral:rRNA from 1 species